rnacentral:rRNA from 1 species
UACGUAGGUGGCGAGCGUUAUCCGGAAUCAUUGGGCGUAAAGAGGGAGCAGGCGGCAGUGCAGGUCUGCGGUGAAAGCCCGAAGCUAAACUUCGGUAAGCCGUGGAAACCGCACAGCUAGAGAGCAUCAGAGGAUCGCGGAAUUCCAUGCGUAGCGGUGAAAUGCGUAGAUAUAUGGAGGAACACCAGUGGCGAAGGCGGCGGUCUGGGGUGCAGCUGACGCUCAGUCCCGAAAGCGUGGGGAGCAAAUAGG